GGGGGAGGGGAAGAGCAAUGGCGGUCAUGUUGGUGAUCACGUGAUUGAUGGUGGGGGGGCGCUGAUCAUGUGAUCACGGAUGAAGGGCAGAGCAAUGGCGGCCAUGUUGGGGAGAUCACGUGAUUGAUGGGGGGGCGUCAAGCAAUGGCGGCCAUGUUGGAGAUCACGUGAUCACCCCAUAUUUGGGGGGGGUGGGGGUCAAUAAGGAUCCCAUAUGGCCCCAUAUAGGGGGAAGGGGGUCAAUAUGGGUCCUAUAUGACCCCAUAUGGGGCCAUAAGGGUCUUCUAUGGCCUUAUAUGGCCCUAUAUAGGGCUAUAAGUGUCUCCUAUGGCCCCAUAUGGGGCCAUAAGGGUCUCCUAUGGCCUUAUAUGGCCCUAUAUGGGGCUAUAAGGGUCUCCUAUGGCCUUAUAUGGGGCCAUAAGGGUCUCCUAUGGCUCUAUAUGGCCCCAUAUAUAGGGGAAUGGGAGUCUAUAAGGAUCCCAUAUAGACUCAUACAGGGGGAAGGGUGUCUAUAAGGAUCCCAUAUAGACCCAUACAGGAGGGAAGGGGGUCAAUAGGGGUCCUAUAUGGCUCCAUAUGGGGCUAUAAGGAUCUCCUAUGGCCUUAUAUGGCCCUAUAUGGGGCUAUAAGGGUCUGCUAUGGUCCCAUAUGGGGCCAUAAGGGUCUCCUAUGGCUCUAUAUGGCCCCAUAUAUAGGAGAAUGGGGGUCUAUAAGGAUUCCAUAUAGACCCAUACAGGGGGGAAGGGGGUCAAUAGGGAUCCUAUAUGGCUCCAUAUGGGGAUAUAAGGGUCUCCUAUGGCCUUAUAUGGCCCUAUAUGGGGUUAUAAGGGUCUGCUAUUGCCCCAUAUGGGGCUAUAAGGGUCUCCUAUGCCCGUAUAUGGCCCUAUAUGGGGCUAUAAGGGACCCCUAUGCCCCCCCUAAUAAAACCCCAUAUAUUUAAUGUAUAGGGCUCAACCCCGGUGCCUGUGGACUGCAGGGAGGGGGCAGAGGGGGGGACAUUGAGGUGCCACGUGGGACACCCCGUAUUUAGGGCUGACAGCACGCCCCACUGAAUCCCGUCUCACGGUGUCCGACAACUCGCUGCUCUGGAGCGCCCCCGUGCGGUACCGGGUGGGAGCCGCGGUCACGUGGCUGGAGGACUCCACCCCAUAUCUCAGCUUCACCCCCGGCCAGACCCACAACUCAACACUGAGGCACCAUUACCAGGUUCAGAUUUCUUCUCCUCCGGCCUCCCCCCGGUGCCC